AAAGGGGCGAGGACUGAGUGAUCUCGUUCUCUCGUGCUCCGACUUUGCAGCCAUGCAUGUGGGAAGAACUCGCUAUUGCUGUAUGGCACUCCUUAGCCAUCCGCCUUGAGUGUAAGCUGUCAUGCCUCGUGUGUACGGCUUUUCUCUUAUACCUUUUUUGCCAGAUAGACCAGGUUACCGCCGUGUACGAUAUCGGAAUGGUGCUUCCGUGCGUAAUCCUUCCCUGCGUGUUACAGGUAACCACUUGGAAUCUGCGUAACUGGCCAAGCUAUAAAGCAUUUUGACUUUCUGGGAAAGAGCUGGGACGGACCAACUACAUGGCAUGCCUUUUAAAGUUUCUUCAAGCAGCGUUCCUACAUUUGCACUUGUAGGUGAGCUGUUGGCACACAGAUGAUUCAGGAGCAAAAGUGCCAAAGUGAAGGAUCUGCCAGUUUUAAAAUUGGGCAAGCUGCCAAUAUCUGGAUGUUUCUGGAGCUUGUGUUCUCUACCUGUUGCAUAUUGUAACUUCCUUCAAUAAAACAUUGUACCCAUGGUACAUUUUUCAAACUAAA